AGAAUGUCAGAAAGUGAGGGUGAGACUCAACCCAUUCUUAUCUUAGUAUUUUUCAGUGAUCCCAAUGCCUACUCAAGCUUUACGUUUCAGUUCCGUGAUCAUAGUUUGUGAUUCCUGUAUAUGAUAGAGAGUCACGUACUCUUCCAGUUCCAAGAUAAUGAGUUCUAGUUCAUUCAAGUAGUCGGAAUCACAUUCCUUAUGUUAGGAACUCUAGUUGAGGUCAUGCAACUCAUGACGCAUGUACUCACUCUUUAUAGUGUGCUCAGUCCCGUAUAAAAAUCUUCUCAUGCUUCAGGGUCUUAUGUUUUAACCUUUUAGUGACCU
rnacentral:lncRNA from 1 species